rnacentral:rRNA from 1 species
CCUACGGGUGGCUGCAGUGAGGAAUAUUGGUCAAUGGGCGCGAGCCUGAACCAGCCAAGUCGCGUGAGUGAGGACGGCCCUACGGGUUGUAAACCUCUUUUGCCGGGGAGCAACGGGCGUCACGUGUGGCGCCACUGAGAGUACCUGGAGAAAAAGCAUCGGCUAACUCCGUGCCAGCAGCCGCGGUAAUACGUAGGAGGCGAGCGUUAUCCGGAAUGACUGGGCGUAAAGGGUGCGUAGGUGGUUUGGCAAGUUAGUAGCGUAACUCCAAGGCUCAACCUUGGAACUACUACUAAAACUGUUGGACUUGAGUGCAGGAGGGGCAACCGGAAUUACUAGUGUAGCGGUGGAAUGCGUAGAUAUUAGGAGGAACACCAGUGGCGAAGGCGGGUUGCUAGACUGUAACUGACACUGAGGCACGAAAGCGUGGGGAGCAAACAGGAUUAGAUACCCCAGUAGUC